AUGCGAGCGUUAUCCGGAUUUAUUGGGUUUAAAGGGUGCGCAGGCGGAUUUUUAAGUCAGCGGUCAAAUCGUGGGGCUCAACCCCAUCCAGCCGUUGAAACUGCCGGGCUCGAGUGGGCGAGAAGUAUGCGGAAUGCGUGGUGUAGCGGUGAAAUGCAUAGAUAUCACGCAGAACCCCGAUUGCGAAGGCAGCAUACCGGCGCCCUACUGACGCUGAGGCACGAAAGUGCGGGGAUCAAAC
rnacentral:rRNA from 1 species